GGGUGCAACCAUACCAGCACUAACGCACCGGAUCCCAUCAAAACGCCGAAGUUAAGCGUGCUCGAGCGAGAGUUGUACUGGGAUGGGUAACUUGGGAAGUCCUCGUGUUGCACCCC
rnacentral:rRNA from 1 species